GGUUAAGCGACUAAGCGUACACGGUGGAUGCCCUGGCAGUCAGAGGCGAUGAAGGGCGUGCUAAUCUGCGAUAAGCGCCGGUAAGGUGAUAUGAACCGUUAUAACCGGCGAUACCCGAAUGGGGAAACCCAGUGUGAUUCGUCACACUAUCAUUAACUGAAUCCAUAGGUUAAUGAGGCGAACCGGGGGAACUGAAACAUCUAAGUACCCCGAGGAAAAGAAAUCAACCGAGAUUCCCCCAGUAGCGGCGAGCGAACGGGGAGGAGCCCAGAGCCUGAAUCAGCAUGUGUGUUAGUGGAAGCGUCUGGAAAGGCGCGCGAUACAGGGUGACAGCCCCGUACACAAAAGCGCAUGUGCUGUGAGCUCGAUGAGUAGGGCGGGACACGUGGUAUCCUGUCUGAAUAUGGGGGGACCAUCCUCCAAGGCUAAAUACUCCUGACUGACCGAUAGUGAACCAGUACCGUGAGGGAAAGGCGAAAAGAACCCCGGCGAGGGGAGUGAAAAAGAACCUGAAACCGUGUACGUACAAGCAGUGGGAGCACCCUUUGGGGUGUGACUGCGUACCUUUUGUAUAAUGGGUCAGCGACUUAUAUUCUGUAGCAAGGUUAACCGUAUAGGGGAGCCGUAGGGAAACCGAGUCUUAACCGGGCGUUAAGUUGCAGGGUAUAGACCCGAAACCCGGUGAUCUAGCCAUGGGCAGGUUGAAGGUUGGGUAACACUAACUGGAGGACCGAACCGACUAAUGUUGAAAAAUUAGCGGAUGACCUGUGGCUGGGGGUGAAAGGCCAAUCAAACCGGGAGAUAGCUGGUUCUCCCCGAAAGCUAUUUAGGUAGCGCCUCGUGAAUUCAUCUCCGGGGGUAGAGCACUGUUUCGGCUAGGGGGCCAUCCCGGCUUACCAACCCGAUGCAAACUGCGAAUACCGGAGAAUGUUAUCACGGGAGACACACGGCGGGUGCUAACGUCCGUCGUGAAGAGGGAAACAACCCAGACCGCCAGCU
rnacentral:rRNA from 1 species